GGGUCUAUGGUGUAGCUGGAUAGCAUAGGAGCCUCCGGAGCUCCUGACCCGGGUUCGAAUCCCGGUGGACCCA
rnacentral:tRNA from 1 species